rnacentral:rRNA from 1 species
AUACGUAGGGGGCGAGCGUUGUCCGGAAUGAUUGGGCGUAAAGGGCGCGUAGGCGGCCCGGUAAGUCUGGAGUGAAAGUCCUGUUUUUAAGAUGGGAAUUGCUUUGGAUACUGUCGGGCUUGAGUGCAGGAGAGGUAAGUGGAAUUCCCAGUGUAGCGGUGAAAUGCGUAGAGAUUGGGAGGAACACCAGUGGCGAAGGCGACUUACUGGACUGUAACUGACGCUGAGGCGCGAAAGUGUGGGGAGCAAACAGGAUUAGAUACCCUGGUAGUCCACACUGUAAACGAUGAAUGCUAGGUGUAGGGGGUAUCGACCCCUUCUGUGCCGCAGUCAACACAAUAAGCAUUCCGCCUGGGGAGUACGGCCGCAAGGUUGAAACUCAAAGGAAUUGACGGGGCUCUUUGUUC